rnacentral:misc_RNA from 1 species
UUUGUUAUAAAUUAUAAGGAUAUGUUAGAAGAAUUGUAGUUAGUAGUUUUUUUGUGAAUAAUAUAUUUUUUUGUUAAAUAAGAUUAAAGAUUAAAAAUAGGUAGUUUGAAAGGAAGGUUUUAAAAAUAUUGUUUCGAAUGUAUGGUAAGAAGAAUUGUGGGAUUGUUGGAGGUUUAGAAUUUUUGAGGUUUUUUUUUUAAUUUAUGG